rnacentral:rRNA from 1 species
CCUACGGGUGGCUGCAGUGAGGAAUAUUGGUCAAUGGGCGAGAGCCUGAACCAGCCAAGUCGCGUGAAGGAUGACGGCCCUACGGGUUGUAAACUUCUUUUGUCAGGGAGCAAUUGAGUCCAAGUGUGGUCUUAGCGAGAGUAAAGGAAGAAAAAGCAUCGGCAAACUCCGUGCCAGCAGCCGCGGUAAUACGGAGGAUGCGAGCGUUAUCCGGAUUUAUUGGGUGUAAAGGGCGUGUAGCCGGGCUGACAAGUCAGAUGUGAAAUCCGGGGGCUCAACCCCCGAACUGCAUUUGAAACUGUUGGUCUUGAGUAUCGGAGAGGCAGGCGGAAUUCCUAGUGUAGCGGUGAAAUGCGUAGAUAUUAGGAGGAACACCAGUGGCGAAGGCGGCCUGCUGGACGACAACUGACGGUGAGGCGCGAAAGCGUGGGGAGCAAACAGGAUUAGAUACCCCUGUAGUC